AUAUUCUGCCAUGUAGCUAUAUCACAAUUUCUUUAGCCACGUGUCUGUUGAUAAACAAGUGAGUUUUUUCAAGCUUUUAGCUAUUGCAAACAACGCUGCUAUGAACAUUCAUGAAAAUCUUUGUAUGGAUAUUUGCUUUUAUAGGUCUUUGACAAAUUCCUAGGAGUCAGAUGGCUGGGACAUAGUCAGUAGUGUUUAAUGUUUUAAGAAACAAUUUUCCCCAGUGAUUAGACCAUUUUACAUUCCCACAAGUGUUAGUCAUUUCGAUUUUAGACUUUCUAAUAGGUGUAUUGUGGUAUCUUAUUAUAGUUUUAAUUUAUAUUUUCCUAAUACUUCUGUUGUUUACCAUCUUUCUUGCUAAUUUUCAACCCAUGAAUCUUCUUUGGUGGUGUAGCCUUUUAAAUCAUUGACCACUCCUCUUUUUUUUGGAUGUUACUUGCUGAAUGCAACAUAAGUUUAUUAACUCCCUGCAGUCAGGCAUGCAGCCCAGCUCAACAGGGUUUUCAUCUCUAUCCCUUGAGCUACAUCCAGGCCCUAGUCCUUUUAUGUAUUUAUUUAUUUUACAACAGGUUCUUGCCAAGUUGUCUGGACUGGCCUCAAGUUUGAGAUCUACCUCUCUAACCUCCAGAGUAGCUGGAAUUAUAGGUGUGUGCCACCAUGCCUGGCUCUGGUUAAAUUCAACUUUUUGGCUGACAUCUAUAGACCCUAAUCUCAGGAUUAGUGACCUAGCCAGUAAUUGCACAUGCCAUCUACUGAACAGGAGAAUACCACAAAAAUAUCUAACAGAGAUAGAUUGGUAGAAUGAUUUUGCUUUGCAAUUCAAGGGAUUGAUCAUUUUUACAUUUAUUUCCAAUUUGUUUCAUAGGUUAUUUAGUAUUCACAAUGGAUAAGAGCAGUGGGCAGCUGCAUAGUUGAUCCUGGCUCUGAAUCCUUUAACCUGGUUCUGAGUAAAGGUGCCAGUUUCCUUGCCCAAAUGGUACUACUAAAAGUUAAGUACUCUAACUGCCCACACCUAUGCCUUUGUCUUGUUUGGAUGCAGUAUUUUUCCUAAUCACCUCCCUACCUCCCUUACUAUUUCUUUUGUCCACUGCCCAAACAAAUCAAUGUUCUGAAGUAAGAGCAGAGAAGGAAAGAAAGGUGUCUGUAUUUGUAGAGCAUGUACUACCCACAGACACUUUGCCAUGUAUUUUUAUAUAUACUGUAGUACUUAUUCUCACAACAGUCUGGCCGGAUGUUUAUUAUAAUUGUCUUUUUACAGAUGGAAAAAAAAAAAACAAAGGUCAAAUAUCAUGUAACUUGUUCCAGAUCAUGCAAUUAGUAAAUGAUUACCUAGGCUUCUAUAGCAUUCACAUCUGUUCCAAAGGCCUUUUCUUUUAUUUGAAGUCUUAAACAAUGCCCAUCUUAAUAACAGUAGAAAGAACCAUUUCCAUAAUGUGAAGUUUAAGACUUAAAAUGGC
rnacentral:lncRNA from 1 species